GGGGUUGUAGCUCAGUAGUAGAGUACUUGCCUAGCAUGUGUGAGGCCCUGGGUUCAAUCCCCAGCAUCACAU
rnacentral:tRNA from 1 species